AAAGCACUUUUGUCCGGAAAGAAAUCAUCCUGGUUAAUACCCGGGGUGGAUGACGGUACCGGAAGAAUAAGCACCGGCUAACUACGUGCCAGCAGCCGCGGUAAUACGUAGGGUGCAAGCGUUAAUCGGAAUUACUGGGCGUAAAGCGUGCGCAGGCGGUUCGCUAAGACAGAUGUGAAAUCCCCGGGCUUAACCUGGGAACUGCAUUUGUGACUGGCGGGCUAGAGUAUGGCAGAGGGGGGUAGAAUUCCACGUGUAGCAGUGAAAUGCGUAGAGAUGUGGAGGAAUACCGAUGGCGAAGGCAGCCCCCUGGGCCAAUACUGACGCUCAUGCACGAAAGCGUGGGGAGCAAACAGGAUUAGAUACCCUGGUAGUCCACGCCCUAAACGAUGUCAACUAGUUGUCGGGUCUUCAUUGACUUGGUAACGUAGCUAACGCGUGAAGUUGACCGCCU
rnacentral:rRNA from 1 species